GGAGUCCAUCCUGCCGUCACCUGCAGUUGCCAAAUCGUGAGGGUUCGAGCCGCAUCUCCAGACUCCCUUCCGCCGCCGGCGCCGGCGGCACCUCGCAGCUCGCUGCCUGCCUCCGUCCUCCAACUCCAUGUCGGCAAGUCUUCCCCAUCCUUAGUCUGUACGCAAGGAAUGACGUGUAGGUUUGUGAUGGCGAUUUCCCAGGGAGUUAUUCAGAUCCCCCUGAAUGAAAAAGAUCAGAGAAUGCCGUUUUCCCGUAUCGCCGUAUCCGUAUCUCUGUACUCGUAUCCCCGUACCAUGUAACAUAGGAGGCCGCGGAUGCAGCCGUUGAGGCGGACGGCGGUCUAUGGCGACCGCGGCGACGGAGAAGGUCGGCGAAUCUGAGGCGCGAAUCGGCGACGAAGUCCGGGUCGUCGCUGGCUCUAGUUCCAGGUCGUAUUUUGACUGUGCGGUUUCUUUAGCAAUUGUAUCCACGUGAAUUGCCUUGAUGUGUCUGCUGCGGUCAACAGAACUUGCUAGCAUCGACGUUGGCGGCUUGAAGUCAAUUCGGAGGCAACAACUCAAGGUUUUAGGCGAACCCCGACGACGAUGAUGCUGCUGCAGCGAUUUGGUUGAGGCAAGGCCCACUUGAAUCGGCCUACUGUAGAAAGCGGGAUUAUACAGGGGCAGUUUGGCGCUCACACCGCAGCAGUGGCGAGGCGGAGUUGGGGCCGUGACCUUUCUUGACGAAUCCAAAUCCAGGUCUCCCUCGUGGCACUUGUCGUAUUCUUAGAGGAAAAAAAAAUUAAGCCUCGAAUCCGUGUCUCCCUCGUGAUGGUGAAGACAGGCGACUCGGCAGCGGCGGUCAAGGCGACCUGGCGCAUCAAAUUAACCUGAGUUGGCUAGUCUGAACAUGGUCUUCUUCUUUUUUUAUUCACAUCAACUCGCAUCUUGAAGCUGGUGCAAACAGAACACCUUUCAGCUAGUCCAUCAUGAUGACCAGGUUUGCUAGAGCAAACAAAUCGGCUAUUGAUCUCGGGAUUUGAAGCAAACAACUACGGUUUGAUGGAUGUGAGCAUAUCUCUUCCUUUGAUCUAACGUGGAGGCAACUCACAAUUGACAACUUGGAUUUGGCAGCGGCGGCAGACCACACCGUAACCCUAAUUUCUCUUUUUUGACUUGAAUCUUCUGGAUUGUAAAAUCUAAACCAGUAACCACAAGGCUAAGUCUUUCUUAUCCGAAGAAUUGUAAACUCCUCGAUCCCUGAGA